GGAACCAAAACUUGACUUGUCUAGUCUCCAAAGAAAGCCUUUUGCUUAACUCCAACCUUUGUUUCUCAUCAGGAUGAGGACACUCCUUGAAAAGAGAUUCAAGUUCUUGGAUUUGCUGAGGAGUGUGUCGGUGGUAUCUUUUCUUCCUUGGUGGUUUGUCGGUAGCAUCUUGUUCAUCACCCGAUGCACCUUCCAAGUUAUCACUUCCAGAUCUGCUGUCUGGUUCUUCUUCUCUACUCCUUCUACCAACACUGUUAUUUCCCUCGUAGUUUUCAGCCAUUCUUGUUACCUCACUUUGCCCUUCCAUACCUGUUUGAAGAGCAAGAGAAAGUCCUGGGGAGUUGAACAUGUUCUUGGCAAGAGAUUGAGGAAGAAGUCUUGGCUGAGAAAUUGCACCAGUGGGCAUAUUGUUUUUAUUGUCGUUGUUGCUGCUGCUGUUGUUGUGAUUAAAUGGUAUAUCAGCAACAAUUCUUGCACCGCCACCACCAGAAUUAUUAUCAAGAAAACCCCCAAAAUUCAUGAAAUAAAGCAAGAGAAACUCAAAAAGAACUAAAC
rnacentral:misc_RNA from 1 species